AUUGAACGCUGGCGGCAGGCCUAACACAUGCAAGUCGAGCGGUAGCACAGAGAGCUUGCUCUCGGGUGACGAGCGGCGGACGGGUGAGUAAUGUCUGGGAAACUGCCUGAUGGAGGGGGAUAACUACUGGAAACGGUAGCUAAUACCGCAUAACGUCGCAAGACCAAAGUGGGGGACCUUCGGGCCUCAUGCCAUCAGAUGUGCCCAGAUGGGAUUAGCUAGUAGGUGGGGUAACGGCUCACCUAGGCGACGAUCCCUAGCUGGUCUGAGAGGAUGACCAGCCACACUGGAACUGAGACACGGUCCAGACUCCUACGGGAGGCAGCAGUGGGGAAUAUUGCACAAUGGGCGCAAGCCUGGUGCAGCCAUGCCGCGUGUGUGAAGAAGGCCUUCGGGUUGUAAAGCACUCUCAGCGGGGAGGAAGGCGUUAAGGUUAAUAACCUUGGCGAUUGACGUUACCCGCAGAAGAAGCACCGGCUAACUCCGUGCCAGCCGCCGCCGUAA
rnacentral:rRNA from 1 species